AUGUCGUGGCUGACGCGGGCGGGGAAGUCCAAGGAGAAAGAGGAGCCGGAGGGUUCCGUGGGGCGGGAGGAGAGGGGGCUGCUGGUGCAGGCCAUGCUGGAGCACGGCGGGGAUCCCUGGGAUUAUAAGGCUGUCGGCCAGGACCCCACCCUGAAAGCCGCCGAGAGGCACUGGGUGAACUACGUCUCCACGUAUCAUCCUAAGGGGGAGAAGAAGUGCUCGGCCCUGCAGUGGCUGCUCUUCGAUCUGGCCAGUAUCCUCCAGGCUGCGGUGGAGGAGAAGGAGCAGUGCGUGAAGAACCUGCAGAACAGCUUGCAGGUGGCCCACAACGAGAUCCUGGCGCUGCGCUGUGACAACGCGCUGCUGGGCGAGCAGGGCGAGCAGCUGCGGAGGGCCAGGGAGGAGCUCAGGGCUGAGGGCGCAGAGAACGCCCGGCUGAGAAGGAAGGUGCAGUGCCUGAGCAGGCUGCUGGGGAAGGGGCUGGAUCAGAGGAAAGUGGCGGCUCUGAGCGAGGGAGACGGGGAGCCGGGGCUGCGGGACGGGGAUAUCUGGGACGUGGAGAUCCAGGAGAACUCCGCUGUGCAAGGUGGGGGGGCUGUGGCUGCCAGGAAAACGAAACUGGCAGAGCGAGAGGGAAGCGCAGGAACGGGGGAUAGGGAUGUGUCAAAAAAAGAGAAAGUCUGGAAGAAGAACAAGGAGGGGUGGCCCAUGUGGGUAAACCGCAUUUGGAGCUUGGAACAGCACACUCCCUUCACGCACGAGGCGGCAAAGCGGGUGGUCACGGCCAUAGGGCUGCCGUGGCCGAAGGUGGGGGCCAUCAUCAGAGCCUUGCCGCCCGAUGAGGCACUGGGAGGAGAAAUCUUAAGGCUGGUGAUUAGAAAUCUAGGGGAAUAUGAGCCCCUCAAGGAUAACAUGGAAGGGGCACCCUGGAGAGAUAUCCAGGAGGCAGCGGCAUACGUGUGUGGGAAUGUGGUGCUCCGGGCAUUAAAGCAGCAGGAGAAACCCGUGAGCUCCGAUUUUGACGUCCUGGGCAUGAAUGUGGAGCAGGGGGAUGUCGGGGUGCUGGCCUGCCGCGCUCCCGAGGCACACAGGGGGUUCUUCAUCAGCCUAGGCUCCACGCUGAUUGGCCGUCCCCUCCGAGAGUGCAUGGCCACCCUGGAGAACCUGGGCACCCUGGUGGGGACGGAGGGGAAAGAGAAGGCAAAGAAGGAAGCAGCGAGGGUGAGGACGUACAUCCCUAGGGGGAUAAUUUGGAGAUACUUGAUAAAUCAGGGAGUAAAUGAAGGAGAGCUAGAUAGUCAGCCCACAGGAGUUCUGCUUGCCAAAAUGAAGAAAAUCCUUCAGGAAAAAGGGAUGAAACAAGAAGAGAUUUGGGAAAAACUAAAGCAGAUGAAGCCAUUGCCUCCUCUUCCUACCCCGAAGAGAAAACAAUAUUCGUUACAGAAGGACCUUAAAGAUUAG
rnacentral:lncRNA from 1 species